CGUUACGUUACUCAUUUUCCUGCAGUAGCUGUUGCCUGACUUGAUCUUUAAGUAGUUGGGGCGGAAAUAACAACUGUUCCAAAUGACUCCAUCACUCCCGCGACCCUGCCGAGCCGGGAGCGCCCUAUGCCAUAGAACCACAGAACCAGAGAAGCCUUGGAGUUGGAAGGGACCUGCGAGGGCCAUCCAGCCCAAGUCCCCUGCAGCACACAGGGACACCACAGCUCCAUCAGGUUGCCCAGGGCCUGCUCCAGCCUCGCCUUGGAAGUCUCCAGGGAUGGGGCAUCCGCCACAUCUCUGUGCCAGCACCUCACCGCCCUCACUGGAAAAGACUUUUCCUCAUAUCCAAAUAAAUCUCCCCUCGUGAAGCUCAAAA